rnacentral:rRNA from 1 species
GUGCCAGCAGCCGCGGUAAUACCGGCAGCCCAAGUGAUGGUCGAUCUUAUUGGGCCUAAAGCGUCCGUAGCUGGCCGCGCAAGUCCAUCGGGAAAUCCACCCGCCCAACGGGUGGCCGUCCGGUGGAAACUGCACGGCUUGGGACCGGAGGACCCGAGGGGUACGUCCGGGGUAGGAGUGAAAUCCCGUAAUCCCGGACGGACCGCCGGUGGCGAAAGCGCCUCGGGAGGACGAAUCCGACGGUGAGGGACGAAAACUAGGGUCUCGAACCGGAUUAGAUACCCCUGUAGUCC